rnacentral:rRNA from 1 species
GCGCUGACGAGUGGCGGACGGGUGAGUAACGCGUAGGAAUCUGCCUUAUAGUGGGGGACAACGUGGGGAAACCCACGCUAAUACCGCAUACGCCCUACGGGGGAAAGGAGGGGAUCUUCGGACCGGUCGCUAUUGGGUGAGCCUGCGUAAGAUUAGCUUGUUGGUGGGGUAAUGGCCUACCAAGGCGACGAUCCGUAGCUGGUCUGAGAGGAUGACCAGCCACACUGGGACUGAGACACGGCCCAGACUCC